UACGUAGGGGGCAAGCGUUGUCCGGAUUUAUUGGGCGUAAAGAGCGUGUAGGCGGCCAGGUAGGUCUGCUGUGAAAACUCGAGGCUUAACCUCGAGCUGUCGGCGGAAACCAUCUGGCUAGAGUCCGGAAGAGGAGAGUGGAAUUCCUGGCGUAGCGGUGAAAUGCGCAGAUAUCAGGAAGAACACCCGUGGCUAAGGCGGCUCUCUAGUACGUGACUGACGCUGAGACGCGAAAGCGUGGGGAGCGAACAGG
rnacentral:rRNA from 1 species